AAAAUCCGUCGACUUUAUAAAUCGGGAGGGUUCAGGUCCCUCUAUCCCCA
rnacentral:tRNA from 1 species